GAUGAACGCUGGCGGCGUGCCUAAUACAUGCAAGUCGAGCGAACGGACGAGAAGCUUGCUUCUCUGAUGUUAGCGGCGGACGGGUGGGUAACACGUGGAUAACCUACCUAUAAGACUGGGAUAACUUCGGGAAACCGGAGCUAAUACCGGAUGAUAUUUUGAACCGCAUGGUUCAAAAGUGAAAGACGGUCUUGCUGUCACUUAUAGAUGGAUCCGCGCUGCAUUAGCUAGUUGGUAAGGUAACGGCUUACCAAGGCAACGAUGCAUAGCCGACCUGAGAGGGUGAUCGGCCACACUGGAACUGAGACACGGUCCAGACUCCUACGGGAGGCAGCAGUAGGGAAUCUUCCGCAAUAGGCGAAAGCCUGACGGAGCAACGCCGCGUGAGUGAUGAAGGUCUUCGGAUCGUAAAACUCUGUUAUUAGGGAAGAACAUAUGUGUAAGUAACUGUGCACAUCUUGACGGUACCUAAUCAGAAAGCCACGGCUAACUACGUG
rnacentral:rRNA from 1 species